GUGAAAGGGAAGCAAGUGAUGAUAUACACUAGUAUAUACAUAGAUAUACAGUGAUGGGCCAAAGCCCAAAUUGCAGCAGCGGAGACCCAAAACCUUAAUCCAGCCGGCCCAAACCAUCAGUACAACCCAAAAAAGUGAUUUACUUCUUUUCUAUUUAUUGCUUUAAUUGUAAUUAUUUGCAUAAAUCUAACUUUAGCUUUAGUU
rnacentral:misc_RNA from 1 species